AUGGGAACGCGAAGAACCUUACCUAGACUUGACAUCUUCUGCAUUAAUCGUAAUGGAUGAAAUCCCUUCGGGGACAGAAUGACAGGUGGUGCAUGGUUGUCGUCAGCUCGUGUCGUGAGAUGUUGGGUUAAGUCCCGCAACGAGCGUAACCCCUAUUAUUAGUUGCUAACAUUAAGUUGAGCACUCUAGUGAGACUGCCCGGGUUAACCGGGAGGAAGGUGGGGAUGACGUCAAAUCAUCAUGCCCCUUAUGUCUAGGGCUACACACGUGCUACAAUGGUGGGAACAAAGAGAUGCAAUACCGCAAGGUGGAGCUAAACUCAAAACCCCAUCCCAGUUCGGAUUGUAGUCUGAAACUCGCCUACAUGAAGCUGGAGUUGCUAGUAAUCGCGAAUCAGAAUGUCGCGGUGAAUACGUUCCCGGGUCUUGUACACACCG
rnacentral:rRNA from 1 species